UACUGGACACCUAGUCACCGUCGUCGUGGUCGUCAGAACUCAAUAGUUUUUCUACGUUUUAAGGAUGGAUGAUGGUCAUGUGGGGACUUCUGCUGAUUGAGAAGGACUGAACGAGAAGGAGCAAUCGCCUUCCCGUGGUACUGCCUGUCAUCAUGUGCCAAAUUAUUGUCACGUGAGUAGUGACACUGCUGCUCCAAAGAUCUAUGUCAGGGCUUACAAUGACAGGUUCCUCAUCCAGGUCAAUAAUGUCGUGCUACCGGCCCCAUCUGGUGUAAUAUCAGCACUAUCAUCUUGAACUGUGCGUAGCAGAUGGAAGCGCAGGUGUGGGGGCUGGGCCUUGCUCAUCUGAAGUUCUGAACGGAUCUCUAUCUUGUAUGUCAGUUCUGUUAUUACCGUAACACUGUAUGUUCUUAGCUAUGCUAAUUUUGCUGUUGUAGAAGUUCGUGUGGGAGUUGGAUCUCUUUUCCGCUUUGUUUUCAUUCGAUUGAGCACUGUACUCGCUGGAUACUGUUACUGUACUGCAGUACACGACGAGCUCCUGAAAUUUUGUUAGGUUCUCCUUUGCUCAGAGACCAUUGGUUUACUAUCUGUCCAUGCGACAUCUGGUUCUCAAAGCAGGCACAAGAACCACUAGCAACGAUUUUAAAAGUGACAAACAUUGCAUAUAAAAGGCCAGUUAUCAGGCUCACCACUAGCCUUUUCUUGAAGACCAUGCUUGUUCAUAACCUUGAGGAGGCAGUGGCUUCUUGGAAAGCAAGGAAAUCAAGUGGUUGAUUGCCUGAUGGAUGUAUCAUGGGCAUUUUGUUGGUCCAGUCUGAGUUGGCCCCCCUGUGUGCCAGUUCGUGGGUCGGGCCUCUACUACGCAUUUUCCCAGAGGGGGACCAUCUCUUAUAUCUGCUGCAUCCUCAUCUUGGUGGCUUUCAAUCUUGUGAUGGUUACUUCUAGUGCCCCACCAUCAUGGCGUUGUCAUAUGUAUUCUUUCUUUGGUAGCCCCAAGUUUUGCAUCCAUGCAGCUGAGUCUGCAAUGAAACUGCUAGGUUGAGCAUCAAAAGGUAAAAGUUGAAAGAUUUCUGUGCAUAUUUUACAUGGAUGACGUGAUUAAACU